GAAUUAAUAAGAAACAGAAAAAAUACAGAAAUAAUCACAAUAUCAUGAGAAUGAGAGUAUUAAUAGAGAACAAAGAUAAAGUUGGUAAAAGUAGUAGUAAAAUUAUGUCAUGAAACGAUGGGUAAAAUACCGCAACGAGCGCAACAAUUGAUCUUAGUUGCCAUCAUUUAUUUGGGCACUAUAAGGUGACUGCCGGUGACAAACCGGAGGAAGGUGGGGAUGACGUCAAAUCAUCAUGCCCCUUAUGACCUGGGCUACACACGUGCUACAAUGGACGGUACAAAGAGUUGCAAGACCGCGAGGUGGAGCUAAUCUCAUAAAACCGUUCUCAGUUCGGAUUGUAGGCUGCAACUCGCCUACAUGAAGCUGGAAUCGCUAGUAAUCGCGGAUCAGCAUGCCGCGGGAAUACGUUCCCGGGCCUUGUACACACCGUCUAAGCACACCACGAGAGUUUGUAACACCCGAAGUCGGUGGGGUAACCUUUUGAGCCAUUAAAAAAAAAGGGGUGUUAGGUGGUUUG
rnacentral:rRNA from 1 species